UACGGAGGGUGCAAACGUUGCUCGGAAUUAUUGGGCGUAAAGGGCGCGUAGGCGGAUUGCUUAGUCGGAUGUGAAAUCCCAGGGCUUAACCCUGGAACGGCAUCCGAAACUGGCUCUCUAGAGGAUAAGUGGAGAAAACGGAAUUCCAUGUGUAGCGGUGAAAUGCGUAGAUAUAUGGAAGAACAUCUGUGGCGAAGGCGGUUUUCUAACUUACUCCUGACGCUGAGGCGCGAAAGCAAGGGGAGCAAACAGG
rnacentral:rRNA from 1 species